rnacentral:rRNA from 1 species
AACAGGAUUAGAUACCCUGGUAGUCCACGCCGUAAACGAUGUCGACUUGGAGGUUGUUCCCUUGAGGAGUGGCUUCCGGAGCUAACGCGUUAAGUCGACCGCCUGGGGAGUACGGCCGCAAGGUUAAAACUCAAAUGAAUUGACGGGGGCCCGCACAAGCGGUGGAGCAUGUGGUUUAAUUCGAUGCAACGCGAAGAACCUUACCUACUCUUGACAUCCAGAGAACUUAGCAGAGAUGCUUUGGUGCCUUCGGGAACUCUGAGACAGGUGCUGCAUGGCUGUCGUCAGCUCGUGUUGUGAAAUGUUGGGUUAAGUCCCGCAGCGAGCGCAACCCUUAUCCUUUGUUGCCAGCGGUCCGGCCGGGAACUCAAAGGAGACUGCCAGUGAUAAACUGGAGGAAGGUGGGGAUGACGUCAAGUCAUCAUGGCCCUUACGAGUAGGGCUACACACGUGCUACAAUGGCGCAUACAAAGAGAAGCGACCUCGCGAGAGCAAGCGGACCUCAUAAAGUGCGUCGUAGUCCGGAUUGGAGUCUGCAACUCGACUCCAUGAAGUCGGAAUCGCUAGUAAUCGUAGAUCAGAAUGCUACGGUGAAUACGUUCCCGGGCCUUGUACACACCGCCCGUCACACCAUGGGAGUGGGUUGCAAAAGAAGUGGGUAGCUUAACCUUCGGGAGGGCGCUUACCACUUUGUGAUUCAUGACUGGGGUGAAGUCGUAACAAGGUAACC